rnacentral:rRNA from 1 species
AGAGUUUGAUCCUGGCUCAGGAUGAACGCUAGCUACAGGCUUAACACAUGCAAGUCGAGGGGCAGCAUGAACUUAGCUUGCUAAGUUUGAUGGCGACCGGCGCACGGGUGAGUAACACGUAUCCAACCUGCCGAUGACUCGGGGAUAGCCUUUCGAAAGAAAGAUUAAUACCCGAUGGCAUAGUUCUUCCGCAUGGUAGAACUAUUAAAGAAUUUCGGUCAUCGAUGGGGAUGCGUUCCAUUAGGUUGUUGGCGGGGUAACGGCCCACCAAGCCUUCGAUGGAUAGGGGUUCUGAGAGGAAGGUCCCCCACAUUGGAACUGAGACACGGUCCAAACUCCUACGGGAGGCAGCAGUGAGGAAUAUUGGUCAAUGGACGAGAGUCUGAACCAGCCAAGUAGCGUGAAGGAUGACUGCCCUAUGGGUUGUAAACUUCUUUUAUACGGGAAUAAAGUGAGGCACGUGUGCCUUUUUGUAUGUACCGUAUGAAUAAGGAUCGGCUAACUCCGUGCCAGCAGCCGCGGUAAUACGGAGGAUCCGAGCGUUAUCCGGAUUUAUUGGGUUUAAAGGGAGCGUAGAUGGAUGUUUAAGUCAGUUGUGAAAGUUUGCGGCUCAACCGUAAAAUUGCAGUUGAUACUGGAUGUCUUGAGUGCAGUUGAGGCAGGCGGAAUUCGUGGUGUAGCGGUGAAAUGCUUAGAUAUCACGAAGAACUCCGAUUGCGAAGGCAGCCUGCUGGACUGUAACUGACGCUGAUGCUCGAAAGUGUGGGUAUCAAACAGGAUUAGAUACCCUGGUAGUCCACACAGUAAACGAUGAAUACUCGCUGUUUGCGAUAUACAGUAAGCGGCCAAGCGAAAGCGUUAAGUAUUCCACCUGGGGAGUACGCCGGCAACGGUGAAACUCAAAGGAAUUGACGGGGGCC